rnacentral:rRNA from 1 species
AUACGGAGGAUCCGAGCGUUAUCCGGAUUUAUUGGGUUUAAAGGGAGCGCAGGCGGGAGGUUAAGUCGGCGGUGAAAUUUUUCGGCUCAACUGUGAAAGUGCCUUCGAAACUGGUUUUCUUGAGUGUAGAAGAAGAAAGAGGAAUUUUGGGUGUAGCGGUGGAAUGCAUAGAUAUAACGAGGAACUCCGAUUGCGCAGGCAGCUUACUAAACUACUACUGACGCUCAGGCACGAAGGCGUGGGGAUCAAACAGGAUUAGAUACCCUGGUAGUCCACGCAGUAAACGAUGAUUACUAGCUGUUUGCGAUACAAUGUAAGCGGCUGAGCGAAAGCGUUAAGUAAUCCACCUGGGGAGUACGUUCGCAAGAAUGAAACUCAAAGGAAUUGACGGGG